rnacentral:rRNA from 1 species
UGAGUAAUGUCUGGGAAACUGCCUGAUGGAGGGGGAUAACUACUGGAAACGGUAGCUAAUACCGCAUAACGUCGCAAGACCAAAGAGGGGGACCUUCGGGCCUCUUGCCAUCAGAUGUGCCCAGAUGGGAUUAGCUAGUAGGUGGGGUAACGGCUCACCUAGGUGACGAUCCCUAGCUGGUCUGAGAGGAUGACCAGCCACACUGGAACUGAGACACGGUCCAGACUCCUACGGGAGGCAGCAUG